UUGUUCGGCACGAUGAGAUCUAUAUGUGUACUGAGUUUCAUAUGAAUAUGUGCAAGUAUGUGUGAGCUAUACAUCAAAAUUUUUGACUGUGUUCCAGGGGGCGCCGUAGAGCCCCUGUGCCACGCCCGGGUCCCAGCCUCUGCAGGCUCCUAAAGGCCACAGAUUCCAAAGUGUGCGCAAAUUUUCAAGAGUUUUUGAGUAUGUUAAGGACCCCAAAAGCCCCCACAACUUUGACGAAAAAUUUGAAUACUAAACCCUAAAUAGCCAACUUCCUGUUGGGCGGAGCCUAUGAUAUGCAAUACAAAAGUUGUUUGGAUUGAUGAGAUUUAUAUGUGUACCGAGUUUCAUACGUCUACGAGCAAGAAUGUAUGAUAUAUGGCCCUCCAUAUUCCAGGGGGCGCUGUAGAGCCCCUGUGCCACGCCCGUGUAUCAGUCUCUGCCCGGCCCUAAUGGCCGCAGGUUCCAAUGUGUGUGCCAAUUUUCAAGACUUUUUAAGCAUGUUAAGGGCCCCAAAAGCCCCCGAAACCUUGAAGAAAAAUAAUAAUAAUAAAUAAUAAUAAUAACAAAUAAUCCUAAGGAAAACAAUAGGGCUCUCGCCCUCCAGGCUUGAGCCCUAAAUAUAGCUGCAAGCAGCGAUGGCGGGCUCAAGCCACCAAUGCCAUCACCACCCCGGUGGCAUCAGGUAAACUGUGCCCAGCGGGCACAUGCAUUCACAAUAUCCCUCUGGCAGUGAGGUUUUAAAGGAUAGAGGGGAGCGUAGAGGGGAGCGUGCAUUUGCAGUGGCUGGGCCACGACUCUGGAAUACCCUGCCUUUAGAGAUCAGACUGGCCCCUUCCUUGUCUAUUUUUAAAUCUUUGCUAAAAACUUUUUUAUUUUCCUUAGUGUACUGACUACUGUGUUAUGCUACAUUUUGAAAUGGGUGGUUUUAAAUUUUUUGUCUGGUCUAUUUUUAUGUAUGUGUAAUAUUCUUGCUCUUAUGUUAAAGCACUUUGGUCAGCCAGGAGGCUGUUGUAAAUGCGCUAUACAAAUAAAUUGAAC